rnacentral:rRNA from 1 species
UACGGAGGGUGCGAGCGUUGUCCGGAAUCACUGGGCGUAAAGGGCGCGUAGGCGGGGAGGUAAGUCGGGUGUGAAAUCCCUCGGCCCAACCGAGGAACUGCGCCCGAGACUGCUUCUCUUGAGUCCCGGAGAGGAAGAUGGAAUUCCCGGUGUAGCGGUGAAAUGUGUAGAGAUCGGGAGGAACACCGGUGGCGAAGGCGGUCUUCUGGACGGUGACUGACGCUGAGGCGCGAAAGCGUGGGGAGCAAACGGG